GAUGAACGCUGGCGGCGUGCCUAAUACAUGCAAGUCGAGCGAACAGACGAGGAGCUUGCUCCUCUGACGCUAGCGGCGGACGGGUGAGUAACACGUGGAUAACCUACCUAUAAGACUGGGAUAACUUCGGGAAACCGGAGCUAAUACCGGAUAAUAUAUUGAACCGCAUGGUUCAAUAGUGAAAGACGGUUUUGCUGUCACUUAUAGAUGGAUCCGCGCCGCAUUAGCUAGUUGGUAAGGUAACGGCUUACCAAGGCAACGAUGCGUAGCCGACCUGAGAGGGUGAUCGGCCACACUGGAACUGAGACACGGUCCAGACUCCUACGGGAGGCAGCAGUAGGGAAUCUUCCGCAAUGGGCGAAAGCUUGACGGAGCAACGCCGCGUGAGUGAUGAAGGUCUUCGGAUCGUAAAACUCUGUAUUAGGGAAGAACAAAUGUGUAAGUAACUAUGCACGUCUUGACGGUACCUAAUCAGAAAGCCACGGCUAACUACGUG
rnacentral:rRNA from 1 species